GAUGAACGCUGGCGGCGUGCCUAAUACAUGCAAGUCGAGCGAACAGACGAGGAGCUUGCUCCUCUGACGUUAGCGGCGGACGGGUGAGUAACACGUGGAUAACCUACCUAUAAGACUGGGAUAACUUCGGGAAACCGGAUCUAAUACCGGAUAAUAUAUUGAACCGUAUGGUUCAAUAGUGAAAGACGGUUUUGCUGUCACUUAUUGAUGGUUCCCGGCCGAAUUGGCUAGUUGGUAAGGUAACGCCUUACCAAGGCGACGCUGCGUAGCCGACUUGAGAGGGGGAUCGGCCACACUGGAACUGGACACCGGUCCAGACUCCUACGGGAGGCAGAGGAAGGGAACCUUCCGCAAUGGGGGAAAGCCUGACGAAGCAACCCGGCGUGAGUGAUGAAGGUCUUCGGAUCGUAAACCUCUGUUAUAAGGGAAGAACAAAUGUGUAAGUAACUAUGCACGUCUUGACGGUACCUAAUCAGAAAGCCACGGCUAACUACGUG
rnacentral:rRNA from 1 species